rnacentral:rRNA from 1 species
GACGAACGCUGGCGGCGUGCUUAACACAUGCAAGUCGAACGAAGAGCGAUGGAAGCUUGCUUCUAUCAAUCUUAGUAGCGAACGGGUGAGUAACGCGUAAUCAACCUGCCCUUCAGAGGGGGACAACAGUUGGAAACGACUGCUAAUACCGCAUACGAUCUAAUCUCGGCAUCGAGGAUAGAUGAAAGGUGGCCUCUACAUGUAAGCUAUCACUGAAGGAGGGGAUUGCGUCUGAUUAGCUAGUUGGAGGGGUAACGGCCCACCAAGGCGAUGAUCAGUAGCCGGUCUGAGAGGAUGAACGGCCACAUUGGGACUGAGACACGGCCCAGACUCCUACGGGAGGCAGCAGUGGGGAAUCUUCCGCAAUGGGCGAAAGUCUGACGGAGCAACGCCGCGUGAGUGAUGACGGCCUUCGGGUUGUAAAGCUCUGUUAAUCGGGACGAAAGGCCUUCUUGCGAAUAGUGAGAAGGAUUGACGGUACCGGAAUAGAAAGCCACGGCUAACUACGUG